rnacentral:rRNA from 1 species
AUUGAACGCUGGCGGCAGGCCUAACACAUGCAAGUCGAGCGGAUGAGGAAAGCUUGCUUUUCGAUUCAGCGGCGGACGGGUGAGUAAUGCCUAGGAAUCUGCCUGUUAGUGGGGGAUAACUCGGGGAAACUCGGACUAAUACCGCAUACGUCCUACGGGAGAAAGUGGGGGAUCUUCGGACCUCACGCUAACAGAUGAGCCUAGGUCGGAUGAGCUAGUAGGUGAGGUAAUGGCUCACCUAGGCGACGAUCCGUAACUGGUCUGAGAGGAUGAUCAGUCACACUGGAACUGAGACACGGUCCAGACUCCUACGGGAGGCAGCAGUGGGGAAUAUUGGACAAUGGGCGAAAGCCUGAUCCAGCCAUGCCGCGUGUGUGAAGAAGGUCUUCGGAUUGUAAAGCACUUUAAGUUGGGAGGAAGGGUAUUCACCUAAUACGUGGGUACUUUGACGUUACCAACAGAAUAAGCACCGGCUAACUCUGUGCCAGCAGCCGCCGUAAAAC